CCCCAAGAAUUUUUAGGUUUUUUUUUAUCUGCUCAGGACGAACGCUGGCGGCGUGCUUAACACAUGCAAGUCGAGCGGUAAGGCCCUUCGGGGUACACGAGCGGCGAACGGGUGAGUAACACGUGAGCAACCUGCCCCUGACUCUGGGAUAAGCGGUGGAAACGCCGUCUAAUACCGGAUACGACCCGCCACCUCAUGGUGGAGGGUGGAAAGUUUUUCGGUCAGGGAUGGGCUCGCGGCCUAUCAGCUUGUUGGUGGGGUAACGGCCUACCAAGGCGAUUACGGGUAGCCGGCCUGAGAGGGCGACCGGCCACACUGGGACUGAGACACGGCCCAGACUCCUGCGGGAGGCAGCAGUGGGGAAUAUUGCGCAAUGGGCGAAAGCCUGACGCAGCGACGCCGCGUGGGGGAUGACGGCCUUCGGGUUGUAAACCUCUUUUACCACCAACGCAGGCUCGAAGUUUUCUUCGGGUUGACGGUAGGUGGGGAAUAAGGACCGGCUAACUACGUGCCAGCAGCCGCGGUAAUACGUAGGGUCCGAGCGUUGUCCGGAAUUAUUGGGCGUAAAGAGCUCGUAGGCGGCGUGUCGCGUCUGCUGUGAAAGACCGGGGCUUAACUCCGGUUCUGCAGUGGAUACGGGCAUGCUAGAGGUAGGUAGGGGAGACUGGAAUUCCUGGUGUAGCGGUGAAAUGCGCAGAUAUCAGGAGGAACACCGGUGGCGAAGGCGGGUCUCUGGGCCUUACCUGACGCUGAGGAGCGAAAGCAUGGGGAGCGAACAGGAUUAGAUACCCUGGUAGUCCAUGCCGUAAACGUUGGGCGCUAGGUGUGGGGACUUUCCACGGUUUCCGCGCCGUAGCUAACGCAUAAGCGCCCCGCUGGAGAGCCACCG
rnacentral:rRNA from 1 species